rnacentral:rRNA from 1 species
UACGAGUGGUGCAAGCGUUAUUCGGAAUUAUUGGGCGUAAAGGGUGCGUAGACGGUAUAUUAAGUCAACUGUUAAAUUCUUCGGCCUAACCGGAGGUCAGCGGUAGAAACUGAUAUGCUAGAGGAUGGAAGAGAGAAGUGGAAUUCUCGGAGUAGCGGUAAAAUGCGUAGAUCUCGAGAGGAACACCGAUGGCGAAGGCAGCUUCUUGGUCCAUUCCUGACGUUGAGGCACGAAAGCGUGGGGAGCAAAC